GGGCACUGAAGGACAUGUACUCCACCUGCAUCUUGACCUCCAGCUGCAGAAUCGCAGUGCACACAGGCCCUUACCACAAGCAAAGGCUCAGAGGGCUCCCAAGCGAGCCAAGCACAGUGCAUCCCACUCCCUGAGGGACACCUGCAGGCAGGGACCACUCACACGUCCCAGACACGGAGAAGGCGCACACAUGUAGACAGCCAACGCUGGCUGCCUCGGCCCAACUUGGCUACCAGGGGCACAGGACACCAUCCCCACCCCCUCCUGGCCAGGGCCUCACCAUCGGACCCGGGUUGUCAGCAAAUGCUCGGUCGAAAGCCUUGAUGUGCUUAAACUCAAACAUGUUCCUCUGGACAAA